AACGAACGCUGGCGGCAUGCCUAACACAUGCAAGUCGAACGAGACCUUCGGAUCUAGUGGCGCACGGGUGCGUAACGCGUGGGAACCUGCCCUUAGGUUCGGAAUAACUCCCCGAAAGGGGUGCUAAUACCGGAUAAUGUCUUCGGACCAAAGAUUUAUCGCCUUUGGAUGGGCCCGCGUUGGAUUAGCUAGUUGGUAGGGUAAAAGCCUACCAAGGCGACGAUCCAUAGCUGGUCUGAGAGGAUGAUCAGCCACACUGGGACUGAGACACGGCCCAGACUCCUACGGGAGGCAGCAGUGGGGAAUAUUGGACAAUGGGCGAAAGCCUGAUCCAGCAAUGCCGCGUGAGUGAUGAAGGCCUUAGGGUUGUAAAGCUCUUUUACCCGGGAUGAUAAUGACAGUACCGGGAGAAUAAGCGCCGGCUAACUCCGUG
rnacentral:rRNA from 1 species